AAUGCUUCUCUCUCUGUCUUAAACAGGCAGCAUCAGCAUGUCAGACUGACCAGCCUCUCUCUUUCAGGCAAGCACAGCAAUAUGAAGUCACAAAGGUGUGUCACCAUGGAAUCAGUUGGUCAGAGUGACCAUGUUCCCACAAGAUGUAGACAGCAGAAUGGGAGAACUAUCUCCCUCCCUCUCUUACUGGGCCAAGCACAGACAGAUUACAAUGGAAUGACUGGAAGGUUGUCAAGUAAUUGGCCAACUGCCAUUUUGGAAACUAUGGAACUACUGGGCCUCUGUCUUGAGAGCAUCCAUUGAAGACCUUGAAGCCCAUCUUAAUUAUACUCUACUCACUUCCACCUUCUGAACUAUUAAAUAUGGGAAGGAUAUAGUAAUUAAGAAGAGUCGUUAGAUGCUGGCAAAAUUGUCUCUUUUGAAGUUUAUCCCUUGCUGUCACUCUGGAGAUAAAGGGUGCUCAAUCCUGACAUUCUAAUUGUGGAUACAAGAUAAAAAGCAGGAUUAAAAACUUCAUAACCUCACGCAGAGAAGAGGGAAAAUGAGAUCACCAUGAGGUCAUUUCAUCCCUUGUUGUCACUAAGUUAUGGAAUCAUCAUCGACAUCAUAAUCUUGGAGAUCCAACUGGUGCUAACAGUGGAGACUUUCCAGGACCAAAUCAGAACAUUGCUUUCCAUGAAAGUCAUUGGGGAUUAAUUGUACUAUGUUUUAUGAUGGUGACAGUGAUGAGUGCCAUCAAUCACAUGUGACAGGCAGGAACAAAAACAGGAGAGAAGGAGGAGCAAAAGAGGAAGACAACAGCACUGAUGCGUUGCUUCAUGAUACAUCAAGAAGAAAGGUGUGCUGCAGAGAGUGAGUGAGUGAGUGAGUGAGUGAGAGAUAGAGAGAGAAUGCCUGAGCAACUAGAUGACAGGAGGGAAGACAUGGAUGGAAGUAUGAGAUGAUGGCAAAAUGGUUAAUGGAGGAGAGUUAGAGGGAGUCUGUAGAAGGGGUAGACUGGAAGUAUCAAGCGUUUCCAGUUCUUUGUUUUGAAUGUACAAUAGUUCUCUUUUAUCCAUGGACUCGUUAUCUACAGUUUUGUUUACCUAUUACCUUAUCAGACGAGCUGAUUUGUCUGUUGUAUGCUGCUUCCCCUCCAUUUCUGUCAUGGAGCCCUACACAUGACAUACAGGCACUUCCAGUCAGGCUUCUUGCCAAAAAGGAACACAGGAGCCUUCUCAUGUUGCCUUCCCUGCAAUGGAGGAAAAUUGAGUGGCGACACUUCCCCCAUGGGAUGAGGGGCAAGGUAAGGUGGGCAAUGCGGGGCAUGGAGUGGUGGCUUCUCCACGCCCCCCGCCAGGAUCCCAUGGAUGUGCCCUGAUGCGGGGCGAAUCCAUGGGCCUUUAUGAUAAGGUCCUUACACUUCAAAAAAUCGCCUCAGAAGUGUUUGUGGGCUUCUUUACAUCCUCCAGU